CAUAUAAAAGAUGGAUUCGUAUCCCAAUUUGUAUCUAGAAGAUGUUUUAGAUGAUGAUCAAAAUGACAUCCAAUCUCUCUAUUCUGAAUCAGAUAAUGAGAAUGAAAGUGAAGAUUAUUAUCCUCAACAUCUAUCAUUCUCAUAUCCUAAAUCCAAGAUACACCCUAUGCCAAUCUCCAAAAUUAAACCCAAUCUAUUAAACCUAGAGCCAAAUUUCCAAAGCAA
rnacentral:lncRNA from 1 species